rnacentral:rRNA from 1 species
ACGGGAGGCAGCAGUGGGGAAUAUUGCACAAUGGGCGCAAGCCUGAUGCAGCGAUGCCGCGUGAGGGAAGAAGGUUUUCGGAUUGUAAACCUCUGUCAACAGGGACGAAAAUGACGGUACCUGUGAAGGAAGCUCCGGCUAACUACGUGCCAGCAGCCGCGGUAAUACGUAUGGAGCAAGCGUUAUCCGGAUUUACUGGGUGUAAAGGGAGCGUAGACGGUUUGCCAAGUCUGAUGUGAAAGGUGGGGGCUCAACCCCCAAACUGCAUUGGAAACUGGUAGACUAGAGUGUCGGAGAGGUAAGUGGAAUUCCUAGUGUAGCGGUGAAAUGCGUAGAUAUUAGGAGGAACACCAGUGGCGAAGGCGGCUUACUGGACGAUAACUGACGUUGAGGCUCGAAAGCGUGGGGAGCAAACAGGAUUAGAUACCCUGGUA